rnacentral:tRNA from 1 species
GCUGAUAUGGCUCAGUUGGUAGAGCGCACCCUUGGUAAGGGUGAGGCCCCAGUUCGACUCUGGGUAUCAGCACCA